GCCUUCACCUGGAAUAGCUCGGUCAGUAGAGCAUGAGACUUAAUCUUAGGGUUGUGGGUUCGAGCCCCAUGUUGGGCA